rnacentral:rRNA from 1 species
UACAGAGGGUGCAAGCGUUAUCCGGAUUCACUGGGUUUAAAGGGUGCGUAGGUGGGCUGGUAAGUCCGUGGUGAAAUCUCCAAGCUUAACUUGGAAACUGCCGUGGAUACUAUUAGUCUUGAAUCUCGUGGAGGUAAGCGGAAUAUGUCAUGUAGCGGUGAAAUGCUUAGAUAUGACAUAGAACACCGAUAGCGAAGGCAGCUUGCUACACGAGUAUUGACACUGAGGCACGAAAGCGUGGGGAUCAAACAGG